rnacentral:tRNA from 1 species
CAGAACGUAGCUAAACUAGCCAUAGCAUCUCCCUUACACCGAGAAGAUGCCCGUGCAAAUCGGGCCGAACUGA